rnacentral:tRNA from 1 species
CGGGGUGUAGUGUAAUGGUAGCACGAGUCGUUCGGGACGAUUUAGCCGGAGUUCGACCCUCCGCACCCCGA